UACGUAGGUGGCGAGCGUUGUCCGGAUUUACUGGGCGUAAAGAGCGCGCAGGCGGUCGCUCAAGUCGCGUGUGAAAGCCCCCGGCUCAACUGGGGAGGGUCACGCGAUACUGAUCGACUCGAAGGCAGGAGAGGGUAGUGGAAUUCCCGGUGUAGUGGUGAAAUGCGUAGAUAUCGGGAGGAACACCAGUGGCGAAGGCGACUACCUGGCCUGUUUCUUGACGCUGAGGCGCGAAAGCUAGGGGAGCAAACGGG
rnacentral:rRNA from 1 species